rnacentral:rRNA from 1 species
GAUAUGGCUCAGGACGAACGCUGGCGGCGUGCUUAACACAUGCAAGUCGAACGAGAAUCUACUGAAAGAGUUUUCGGACAAUGGAAGUAGAGGAAAGUGGCGGACGGGUGAGUAACGCGUGAGGAACCUGCCUUGAAGAGGGGGACAACAGUUGGAAACGACUGCUAAUACCGCAUGAAGCAUAGGGGUCGCAUGAUUCUUAUGCCAAAGAUUUAUCGCUUCAAGAUGGCCUCGCGU